AUCGCUUCUUGGCCUUUUGGCUAAGAUCAAGUGUAGUAUCAAGGGUUAUUAAUGGCAAUGUGUCUUUUGUGGGGGGUUAGAUUGUCUUUUUUUUAAGCAAAACAUUUAUUAAUACAUUUCAUUUAUACAUAAUAACACUCAU
rnacentral:snRNA from 1 species